rnacentral:rRNA from 1 species
GAUGAACGCUAGCGGCAGGCCUAAUACAUGCAAGACGAACGGUAAGUUGAGUAGCAAUACUUAGCCAAGAGUGUCGUACGGGUGCGUAACACGUAUGCAACCUACCCUAUACAGGAGGAUAGCCUAGGGAAACCUGGAUUAACCCUUCAUAGUAUUAUUGGAUGGCAUCAUUUGAUAAUUAAAACUGAGGUGGUAUAGGAUGGGCAUGCGUCUGAUUAGUUAGUUGGCGGGGUAAUGGCCCACCAAGACGAUGAUCAGUAGGGGUUCUGAGAGGAAGAUCCCCCACACUGGCACUGAGAUACGGGCCAGACUCCUACGGGAGCAGCAGUAGGGAAUAUUGGUCAAUGGAUGCAAGUCUGAACCAGCCAUGCCGCGUGCAGGAAGAAGGCCUUCUGGGUUGUAAACUGCUUUUGCCAGGGGGAUAAAAUUUCCAUGCGUGGGAAACUGAAGGUACCUGGUGAAUAAGCCACGGCUAACUACGUGCCAGCAGCCGCGGUAAU